rnacentral:rRNA from 1 species
AGACAGCAGUAGCCGCGGGAAUACGUAGGAGGCAAGCGUUGUCCGGAAUUAUUGGGCGUAAAGGGCUCGCAGGCGGUUUCUUAAGUCUGAUGUGAAAGCCCCCGGCUCAACCGGGGAGGGUCAUUGGAAACUGGGAAACUUGAGUGCAGAAGAGGAGAGUGGAGUUCCACGUGUAGCGGUGAAAUGCGUAGAGAUGUGGAGGAACACCAGUGGCGAAGGCGACUCUCUGGUCUGUAGCUGACGCUGAGGAGCGAAAGCGUGGGGAGCGAACAGGAUUAGAUACCCCCGUAGUCCCUGUCUCUUAUAC